rnacentral:rRNA from 1 species
GCGGCGGACGGGUGAGUAACACGUGGGUAACCUGCCUGUAAGACUGGGAUAACUCCGGGAAACCGGAGCUAAUACCGGAUAGUUCCUUGAACCGCAUGGUUCAAGGAUGAAAGACGGUUUCGGCUGUCACUUACAGAUGGACCCGCGGCGCAUUAGCUAGUUGGUGAGGUAACGGCUCACCAAGGCGACGAUGCGUAGCCGACCUGAGAGGGUGAUCGGCCACACUGGGACUGAGACACGGCCCAGACUCCUACGGGAGGCAGCAGUAGGGAAUCUUCCGCAAUGGACGAAAGUCUGACGGAGCAACGCCGCGUGAGUGAUGAAGGUUUUCGGAUCGUAAAGCUCUGUUGUUAGGGAAGAACAAGUGCAAGAGUAACUGCUUGCACCUUGACGGUACCUAACCAGAAAGCCACGGCUAACUACGUGCCAGCAGCCGCGGUAAUACGUAGGUGGCAAGCGUUGUCCGGAAUUAUUGGGCGUAAAAGGGCUCGCAGGCGGUUUCUUAAGUCUGAUGUGAAAGCCCCCGGCUCAACCGGGGAGGGUCAUUGGAAAACUGGGAAACUUGAGUGCAGAAGAGGAGAGUGGAAUUCCACGUGUAGCGGUGAAUGCGUAGAGAUGUGGAGGAACACCU